GUAGGGAAUAUUGCGCAAUGGGGGAAACCCUGACGCAGCGACGCCGCGUGAGUGAUGAAGGCCUUCGGGUCGUAAAGCUCUGUUGCAGGGGAAUAAAAAAAUGAAGGUACCCUGUGAGGAAGGAUCGGCUAACUUCGUGCCAGCAGCCGCGGUAAGACGAGGGAUCCUAGCGUUGCUCGGAAUCAUUGGGCGUAAAGAGGGCGUAGGUGGCUUGGUAAGUCAGGUGUGAAAGCCCAGGGCUCAACCCUGGAAGUGCAUUUGAUACUGCUGAGCUUGAGUGUCGUGGAGGUUACCGGAAUACCUGGUGUAGUGGUGAAAUACGUAGAUAUCAGGUGGAACACCGGAGGCGAAGGCGGGUAACUGGACGAACACUGACACUGAGGCCCGAAAGCGUGGGGAUCAAACAGGAUUAGAAACCCUUGUAGUCC
rnacentral:rRNA from 1 species